rnacentral:rRNA from 1 species
CCUACGGGUUGCAGCAGUGGGGAAUAUUGCACAAUGGGCGCAAGCCUGAUGCAGCCAUGCCGCGUGUAUGAAGAAGGCCUUCAGGUUGUAAAGUACUUUCAGCGGGGAGGAAGGCGAUAAGGUUAAUAACCUUGUCGAUUGAUGUUACCCGCAGAAGAAGCACCGGCUAACUCCGUGCCAGCAGCCGCGGUAAUACGGAGGGUGCAAGCGUUAAUCGGAAUUACUGGGCGUAAAGCGCACGCAGGCGGUCUGUCAAGUCGGAUGUGAAAUCCCCGGGCUCAACCUGGGAACUGCAUUCGAAACUGGCAGGCUAGAGUCUUGUAGAGGGGGGUAGAAUUCCAGGUGUAGCGGUGAAAUGCAUAGAGAUCUGGAGGAAUACCGGUGGCGAAGGCGGCCCCCUGGAUAAAGACUGACGCUCAGGUGCGAAAGCGUGGGGAGCAAACAGGAUUAGAUACCCGAGUAGUC